rnacentral:rRNA from 1 species
AUUGAACGCUGGCGGCAGGCUUAACACAUGCAAGUCGAGCGGAGAUGAGGUGCUUGCACCUUAUCUUAGCGGCGGACGGGUGAGUAAUGCUUAGGAAUCUGCCUAUUAGUGGGGGACAACAUUCCGAAAGGAAUGCUAAUACCGCAUACGUCCUACGGGAGAAAGCAGGGGAUCUUCGGACCUUGCGCUAAUAGAUGAGCCUAAGCCGGAUUAGCUAGUUGGUGGGGUAAAGGCCUACCAAGGCGACGAUCUGUAGCGGGUCUGAGAGGAUGAUCCGCCACACUGGGACUGAGACACGGCCCAGACUCCUACGGGAGGCAGCAGUGGGGAAUAUUGGACAAUGGGGGGAACCCUGAUCCAGCCAUGCCGCGUGUGUGAAGAAGGCCUUAUGGUUGUAAGGCACUUUAAGCGAGGAGGAGGCUACUGAGACUGAUACUCUUGGAUAGUGGACGUUACUCGCAGAAUAAGCACCGGCUAACUCUGUGCCAGCCGCCGCAGUAAGAC